rnacentral:siRNA from 1 species
CGAGUGAUGUGGUCGAGUGA